rnacentral:rRNA from 1 species
AUGGCUCGUACUAAGCAGACUGCUCGUAAGUCCACUGGAGGAAAGGCUCCUAGGAAGCAGCUAGCCACCAAGGCUGCCCGUAAGUCUGCUCCCACAACUGGAGGAGUGAAGAAGCCUCACCAUUACCACCCUGGAACUGUUGCUCUUCGUGAGAUCCGCAAGUACCAGAAGAGCACAGAGCUGCUCAUCAGGAAGCUUCCAUUCUAG